CCUACGGGAGGCAGCAGUGGGGAAUAUUGCACAAUGGGGGAAACCCUGAUGCAGCGACGCCGCGUGAGUGAAGAAGUAAUUCGUUAUGUAAAGCUCUAUCAGCAGGGAAGAAAAUGACGGUACCUGAGUAAGAAUCCCCGGCUAACUACGUGCCAGCAGCCGCGGUAAUACGUAGGGGGCAAGCGUUAUCCGGAUUUACUGGGUGUAACGGGAGCGUAGACGGCAGUGCAAGUCAGGAGUGAAAGGCGGGGGCUCAACCCCCGGACUGCUCUGGAAACUGUACGGCUGGAGUGCAGGAGAGGUAAGUGGAAUUCCUAGUGUAGCGGUGAAAUGCGUAGAUAUUAGGAGGAACACCAGUGGCGAAGGCGGCUUACUGGACUGUAACUGACGUUGAGGCGCGAAAGCGUGGGGAGCAAACAGGAUUAGAUACCCUAGUAGUC
rnacentral:rRNA from 1 species